rnacentral:rRNA from 1 species
GCUUGUCUCAAAGAUUAAGCCAUGCAUGUCUAAGUAUAAGCUUUUAUACGGUGAAACUGCGAAUGGCUCAUUAAAACAGUUAUAGUUUAUUUGAUGGUCACUCACUACUUGGAUAACCGUGGUAAUUCUAGAGCUAAUACAUGCGUCAAGACCCGACUUUUUGGAAGGGUUGUAUUUAUUAGAUGGAAACCAAUGCGGGGCAACCCGGUAUAUGGUGAUUCAUAAUAACUUUCGGAUCGAUCUUCGGAUCGAUGCAUCAUUCAAGUUUCUGCCCUAUCAGCUUUGGAUGGUAGGGUAUUGGCCUACCAUGGCUUUAACGGGUAACGGAGAAUUAGGGUUCGAUUCCGGAGAGGGAGCCUGAGAAAUGGCUACCACAUCCAAGGAAGGCAGCAGG